GCCGCCUCCCUGCCUUAACCCCUAACGCGCCGCCGCCCCCGGGGCACAGUGUCCCCGUCGCCGCGGGCCACACCCCUUCGGGUCCCGGGUUCCCAGCCAGAUGGGCGGUGGCUACCGGGAGCACUGCGCUAGGAGUCACAUUCCCGGGAAGGAAUUCGGGUUGGGCCGCGCACGUGUUGAGUGAUUGGAGCUGGGUUAUUCCCCUCUCGCGUCUCCAUUUUCUCAGCAGUAAAAUGAGGAUAACACCCUCCCACUUCACAGGGACUUGGGGACUGCUGGGAACAGGGAUGCUGGGAACAGACUCCCUGCACCCCUUUUCUCCCCCCCGCAUGAUCUCCGGAUAUCAGGGGCUCCAGAAGGCCUCCCCUACCACACCCCCCUCCAAGAGGGAGACCCCCACCAACCAACCAGUUAGGAGUUGGCCAGUUCCUAACAAGCUGGGAAAGGGUGGGCAGCCCGCAAGUUGACCCCUACCCAACAGCCAUCACCAGAGUCCUUCCCAGGUGGCAAUCACCCCUCUGGGGCCACACCAAUUGCUUCGGAGUAUGCAAGGGGAAACCUCAAGCCAACUGGUUUUUCUGCUUGCUGCCAGGCCUUAGCCAGCCACGUGACGGGGCUUGGGCCCAGGUCUCAGGAAUGUCUCCAGACUGCUUCUGCCACAGACCCAGGGCUCUGAGCAAUGAUCCAGGUUGUAUAGGAGUUGGGCCACUGGCUAUCUGGAAGGCAGCCACAGCAUCCCAGCAGGAGUCCUGGGGGUAAAGACCAAAACCGAGAAUGCCGUAAAGGAGCAACUAUUCUUCGUAGCCGCUGACGGGUGGACUGCAGUGGAAGCCAGAAGACACCUGAGACAAGACAAUGCCACCACUGCCACCAAUGCAGACUGGGGACAGAAGAUGGCAGCCGGUCAGGCUUCCAAACGGUCGUUAUUUCUCUGCAGGAGGUGCUGAGUUCCGAGGGUGGGAGGAUCCUACUGGUAAAGAGGGGUGCUGGUAAAAAGGAGUCGAAGACUUCAAGACGGGUAAGAGGUGCACCCCUGGCCUGCCUGGGCCCCCGGCUGUGGAGCACGGCGCCUCCAGGCUGGCGCCCCGACGACGGGAGCCACUGCUGGCGCCUCUCCGCGCCGGCCCUCGGCCCUCGGCACUGAAAGUGUGGCACCCACCCAAGGCGGUGCAUGAGAGCAGAGGCGCUGGCCAAGGCAGGACCUCCUCGGCUUGCC